CGGAAAUUCCCUCGGCCGCCAUUUGCUCACUCAGAGCACGGUGGGGACGGGAGCUCCCUAUGCGGGCUUUGCAGGGAAUGCUCAUCUCGGCAUGCAGCGGGAGUGUCAGUCGGAGCGCUGUGCGGGGAUCCGGAUCGGGGGCUCCUGCUGGUGCUGCGCGGGGUCCAAGGCGCUCAGGUACAGGUGUCGGGGCCGGAGGAUCGAGGUGGCAUUGGGGCUGGGAUCAGAACCGGCAUCGCCGCGGGAAGAGCUACUCUGGGACAGGCGCUGCCGCUCUGGCUGCGGCAGUAGGGAGCCGGUGCUGUGCCACUACCAUGCCCACCAGGAAGAUGAUGCUUCCCAGGAGCAGCCUCUGGAUCGCGGCUGGCGCCGCCCCGCAGCCCCCCCCGGCCCGGUAACGCCACGAGCACCGCGCUCCCCUACGAGCCACAGCGCCCGCAGCCCCUGCUCCGUGUCCGCACCCCCGGGGGCUGCAGUGCCCCGGCUGGGAGCAGCCGCUCUGGGACGGCCGCUGGGGCCGAGGUGUUGCUGCUCCUGCUCCGAUUGUGCCUAGUGUGGGACUGGAGCCCCAGGGAAACACAAGGGAAAAACCCCACGUGUUAAAAAAACAGUGAAAACUAUUUGUUCUUUAUUUCCAAAGCUGUGAGGAUCAUCAAAUCAAAUGCUGAGAAAUGACUGCCCAGCUGCACAUGGAACACGGAAUUCUGGCCUUCUCAGCACCCUGCUCCAAACACCUGAGCCAAUCCCAGGGUUGUUCCAAAGGUCUUGUGAGGGAUGGGAAUGACUGCUGCCAGAACAAGACAACUCCUGAGGGUCACCUUGCUCUGUGGCCAAAGUUCUUCUGGAGAGUGGUGGGGGUGUUUCCUGCAGUGUGUCCCAGCUGGCUGGGAGCGCAGGGCAGGAGGAGGCCAGAAGCUCCUGAAAGGCAAGCAGCACCUCGUGUCUUUGGGAUCUGCAGGGGAGGAGCUGUGCCUGCACCGUGGCUCCUUGGCCAGGGGCUGCUCUGACCAGGCAUGUGGAAAUGCUUCAGCCUGGACAGAGACCACCAACAGCCCAGAAGGACCCCAAGGAGCAGCUGGCAUUACUGGGAAUGGAGGCAAGGGCUGUUUGCAGAGGGGCUCACAUAGCAAUUCCUGGUUCAGAGCUCCCACACAGCUGCCAGCUAUGUCCCAGCCACCCCAAAUCCCUUCCCUCCUCCCCAGCCUGAGGCCAUCAUCCAUCAGCAGCAUUAAAGCCAAGGCAGUCUUCCCCCACAGAUAUUAAAUCCCAGGCAGUAGCCCUCAGAGAUACCUGAAAAUCAGUGGGAUGGAGUUUGGAGUUUUCCAGGGAUCCAGCUGGAAGUGCAGAUGUCAUGGAAAGCUUUCACAGGUGCCCUGGUGACACCAUGUUGGUCCCUUUGCCUUUCUCCAGCCCGAGGCUGCUCCUCUGUUUGCUCUCUCCAGCCUCAUCCCACAGGGAUCCUCUUCUCCCUUCCCUGCUGGCUGCUGCCAAGGAAGGAGGACACAGUGAGUCUCCAGUGCUGACCCCUUAGCCCUGGAGAGUCCUGGCUGUGGGCCCGAGGGGCCUUGGAUUUCCCAGGGAAAUUGUCUGCUGGUCUCCCUUCAAUUACCUCAGCAAUUCCCUCAAAAAUGCCAGCUCACUCCCCCUGACAUCCCCUCACAUUUUCCUACACAAACAGUUCUUGCAUCCCCUCUAGAUUACAGCAGGUUUUCAUGAAUGGCAUCAUCUAUGCCCACUGCUUGUUAUUCACCCAACCAAAAUCAAGAGCAAAUGUUGGUUAGGCUUUAAUAACAACUUAAAAUAACUUUAGAGCAAAAUAAAACACCUUUUUCUUCUGUGGUUUUUUUCUCCUUCAGCUGCUGGACUCUGAGGAUGUGUGCUGAGCUCUGGGUGGAGGGGACUGUCAGGCUGAAUGGCUUUUUGGGGUCCUCUUAAGAACAGGUUAAAGAGAAGAAGAAGAAAAGCCCAGGACCUACUACCAGCUAGUGCACCAGCCACCUGUUUUCCAUAGAUUCUCUCUCCUUACAGCUGAUGGCUUUUCUAAGAAAGCUUCAGUUCAACCUUAUCACAAUCACCUGGCAGCACUCACUAUUAGCCCCAAAGGCCAGUGCACAUCUGUGUGCUACCUCAGGAAGCUCAGUCGCUCUCUGUGGGACAAAACCUGGUUUGGGCCCAAGAGCUGACUCUGCUCCCUGCUAGCUGAACUAUCCAGCUGUAGGAUGCAGCUGGAUGCUGAAGGGCAGAGUGUGUAACCCUCUGUGAAAGCCAGGCUCCAAAGGCAGCCCUUGAUGCCCCAGCAGUGCUGCUGGAAGCGCUGGCAGCACUUGGCACAGAUGGGAUGGAGCCUUCCCACAGCUCUGUCCCCUGGCACCGAGGGUGGCACAGCAGAGAGGCUGAUGGAAGUAAAACAAACGCUGGAUUUCAAUGGACGCUGAUGGGACUGAAAGCCCCAGCCCAGAGCUGCUCCCUGCCCAGCACAGGAGCUCCCAGUGCUGCUGCAGGGCACAGGCUCUGAGGGAACCCUGCAGCUGGGACAGGAACGCAGCAACAACAAUUCCCAGGCACAAAGAGAUCCCCACCUGCUCCAACAACUGAACCUCUGUGGCUCAGCCUCACGGGGUGUCCCUGCUCCAGGCAGGAUGAGCCACACAGCCCCCGAGGCUGGGCUCACACCCUGCCCUACCAGCAGAAAACAAGGGGUUCAUGAAGCUUUGGGGACACCUUCUGUCCCCAGAGUGCUUUGACCAAACAUCCAGCAGUGUGGAUCUUUAAUAAAGACAGCUUGUA